CCUACGGGAGGCAGCAGUGAGGAAUAUUGGUCAAUGGGCGCGAGCCUGAACCAGCCAAGUCGCGUGAGGGAAGACGGCCCUAUGGAUUGUAAAUUCCUUUUUUAGGGGCGCAAAAGAUGCCACGCGUGGCUUUCUGAGCGUACCCUAAGUACAAGCAUCGGCUAACUCCGUGCCAGCAGCCGCGGUAAUACGGAGGAUUCGAGCGUUAUCCGGAUUUAUUGGGUUAAAGGGGUGCGCAGGCGGAAGGUCAAGCCAGCGGUAAAAUUGAGUGGCUAAACCUCUGCGAGCCGUUGAAACUGGAGUUCUUGAGUGAGUGAGAGGUAGGCGGAAUGCGUGGUGUAGCGGUGAAAUGCAUAGAUAUCACGAAGAACUCCGAUUGCGAAGGCAGCAUACCGGAGAACAACUGACGCUGAGGCGCGAAAGUGUGGGUAUCAAACAGGAUUAGAUACCCGAGUAGUC
rnacentral:rRNA from 1 species